CCGCCUGCAGCAGCCCCGCCCAGGGUGCCAGCCCACCCCGUGGCCCUUAUGAAGAGGGCUGGAAGAUGGUCCCAGGCCCCCAGCAGCCGGAGGAGGAGCCCCCCGCCGCCGGCCCGCGAUGGAGGAGCCCACGCCCGAGCCCGUCUACGUGGACGUGGACAAAGGACUGACCCUGGCCUGCUUCGUCUUCCUCUGCCUCUUCCUGGUGGUCAUGAUCAUCCGCUGCGCCAAGGUCAUCAUGGACCCGUACAGCGCCAUCCCCACGUCCACCUGGGAGGAGCAGCACCUGGAUGAUUGAUGGGGGCGGGUGGCCGCUGGGUCCCCGGGCACCGGGCGCUCAGCCCGUCCACACGGGAGGGGACGCGGUCCCCCUGGGGGCGGAGAAAGCCCCCCUUGGCCUCGCCUGCUCCCACCCGCGCGUCAGGGUGACACGCUCGGGGUGCCCCAGGGGUUCCAGCGGGGGGCGAGUUUGGGGAACGCGGUGACUAUGGGCCGGGCACCUCCCCGGGCUCCAGCGUGACACGACCGUGGCCUCCUUUUCGGGGGCCCUCUGCUCAUCAGAUGCCAACCGGCCCGUGCACUGGCCCUGGGGGGCCCCCAGCGAGGACGUCCCCCCCUACCCAAGCCCCUCCAGGGGGCCAUUGUGAACAGGGGUGAGGAGGAUCCCCCCGAAAAGCCCCAUAGAAGGCACGGGGGCUGCUCCCCGGCUGCAUUUUUAAAAACUGCAAACAGAGAGGGGUCUAUUUUUCCUGUUGCCGGUGAAGUGUGCGUUUCAGAAAUUUGGGGGGAAAUACAGAAACCUAGAACCCCG